rnacentral:rRNA from 1 species
CUACGGGAUGCUCCAGUGGGGAAUUUUGGACAAUGGGCGCAAGCCUGAUCCAGCCAUUCCGCGUGAGUGAAGAAGGCCUUCGGGUUGUAAAGCUCUUUCGCAAGGGAAGAAAACUUAUCCUCUAACAUAGGGUGAGGUUGACGGUACCUUGAUAAGAAGCACCGGCUAACUACGUGCCAGCAGCCGCGGUAAUACGUAGGGUGCGAGCGUUAAUCGGAAUUACUGGGCGUAAAGCGUGCGCAGGCUGUUUUGUAAGUCAGAUGUGAAAUCCCCGCGCUCAACUUGGGAACUGCGUUUGAAACUACAAGACUAGAAUAUGUCAGAGGAGGGUAGAAUUCCAUGUGUAGCAGUGAAAUGCGUAGAGAUGUGGAGGAAUACCAAUGGCGAAGGCAGCCCCCUGGGAUAAUAUUGACGCUCAUGCACGAAAGCGUGGGGAGCAAACAGGAUUAGAUACCCGUGUAGUC